rnacentral:rRNA from 1 species
AUGACAACCUGCUGUUUUUCAAGGCGAAUAGUAUGUGAGCGAUGGAGGUGUAGCCAGCGAAUUAAUUAUGCAAAAUCAUCUAUCUUCUUCAGCAAAGGGGUUCCAGAAAAUAUCCGCAAUGACAUAAAGGGCCUCUUGCAUGUACCAAAUGAGACACUGAAUGAAAAAUAUUUGGGUAUGCCUUCUGACAUCGGUUCCUCAAAGAAUGGUCCUUUCAAAUAUUUGAAGGAUAGAUUGUGGAGUAGGAUUCAAGGAUGGAUAGAGAAGUCUCUGUCCACGGCUGGAAAAGAGGUUCUUGUUAAGGCGGUUGCUCAGGCGGUGCCAGUAUACUCUAUGUCUUGCUUCAACUUACCAAGAGGGUUGUGUGAACAUUUGAAUAUGCUCAUAAGUAAAUUUUGGUGGGGGAGCAAAGAAGGUCAACGGAAGCCGCAUUGGGUUUCUUGGAAGGACAUGACUCAACCAAAAAGCAUGGGGGUUUGGGUUUCAAAAAAUUUGAGCUCUUUAAUCUGGCUAUGCAGCUGGCUAGACAAGCAUGGCAUUUGCUUCAAAACCCAGACUCACUGA